GACGAGGUGGCUGAGAGGUUAACGCAAAUGGACUGCUAAUCCAUUGUUCUCUGCACGCGUGGGUUCGAGUCCCAUUCUCGUCG